rnacentral:ncRNA from 12 species
GCUGCCCGGGUCUGUGGCUGCAAGUCCAGGCCAGCUAUGGGCAAAGGGACCCACGUAAGCAGGAGCAAGGCUCCUUGUGAUCAUGGCAUAGCUUAGAAGUAAGUCCGCGGUAAAACCGGGAACGGCAGGUGUGGGGUCAAAGGCCAGGUCAGCCGGGCAGC